rnacentral:rRNA from 1 species
GUAGGUGGCAAGCGUUGUCCGGAAUUAUUGGGCGUAAAGCGCGCGCAGGCGGUCCUUUAAGUCUGAUGUGAAAGCCCACGGCUCAACCGUGGAGGGUCAUUGGAAACUGGGGGACUUGAGUACAGAAGAGGAAAGCGGAAUUCCAAGUGUAGCGGUGAAAUGCGUAGAGAUUUGGAGGAACACCAGUGGCGAAGGCGGCUUUCUGGUCUGUAACAGACGCUGAGGCGCGAAAGCGUGGGGAGCAAACAGGAUUAGAUACCCUGGUAGUCCACGCCGUAAACGAUGAGUGCUAAGUGUUAGGGGGUUUCCCGCCCCCUUAGUGCUGCAGCUAACGCAUUAAGCACUCCGCCUGGGGAGUACGGCCGCAAGGCUG